UACAGAAAGCAGCGGUGAAGCAGUGUCGUCUGUCGUGACUCACCACACUGAUUCGUGGCAAAUGCUUCAUAACACUGAAUGAACCAUUUCGACACGUUGCUUGAUAUAUAUUUACUGCUUCAGAAAGCUAAGGUUUCUCCAUCACUAGUACGACCCUAAUUUCCAAAUGUUCCACGUGACGUUGAGACGUGUUUGAUGCACGAAUUCUUCUUUGUUUGUAUGUUUGUUUUCUUUUGAUGCACGAGUUCUUUAGAGCGUCAUCCUCCAGCCUUUGUGUCGUUGGACGUGCGUGCGUGCGUGCGUGACGUAGUCAAGCUUGUGUGUCUGUCACAGAGCGAAAGAGGCUUGCGUCGUAUUAAAUUCUCCUCUGAAGUUUAUCUGGCUGAUCUUCUAUCUGGACCUGAGAGAUGAAGAAGGCACAAUCGCUCCUUUUCCAAGCGUUGACCGUGCUUGGCAUUUGGGCUUCGCUUGGUGAGUUCACGUUUUUAUUUGACUUCAAGGUUCACUGCAAACGUUGUUGGGACUGGAUUUGUUUCUUCAGAUCAUUAGGGGAUCAAUAUAAAAGGGCAUUUUAUUGGCCCCACCUCGGGGAAAUGUAUACUUGUCAGAUUACUAGACAUAUUAAGCAAACUGUCAGUCUCAUUUGAAACAAUGGAAACAAUACAUAAUACAUCCGCGGUUUUGAGACACUUUCUGAUCCGACUGUGAACUUUUGAAAAAAGGGUGUAGUAAAGCCUAUUUAAAACUAACGACUGACUUUAAGCAUUGAUAUACCACUCAUUUAACUCACUGACCGCCACUGACUGAAAACCUGAAACAUUCACUUCGGUUUGCCUUGGAAGGCUGCAAAUGGAUUGGACGUCUAGCACCGUCAUUGGCACAGAAACGUGAGAAUCCAUAGCCAGUCCUCCCAGUUAAGAAUAAGCGCACUUCUGUUGUUGUCAGUAGUAAGCUAAACGAACCAAAAUUAUACAUUAAUACAAAUGUAUAUAUAUAACUAUUUUAAAACUAUUAAAAUUAUUAUGAAUUAAAAAAAAAUAACACUAAAUAUUACUAUUAAAUUGUAUAAUAAUAAUUUUAAUUUAAUAAUAAUAAAUUUAAUAAAUUCAUAAUAAUUUAUUUUUUAAUUUAAUUUUAUAGUAUUAUAUAAUACUAUAUUAUUAUUAGUAGUAGUAUUACUAAAUAUAAUAACACUAAAUAUAUAAUACUAAGUAUUGACUAAUGGCAGUUAAAUACUCUUGUAGUUUAGUUUUGGUUAGUUUUAGUUUUAUACUAAAGGGUCAUAGUAUUUACCUAUGAUAUAAAUAAAUAUCUACUUUUUUUAAUUCCAUUAUAAUCUUAAUGAUUUUUUAAUCAAUAAAUUAUCAAUAAACCCAAUAGAUUUGUAUUAAUGUAUAAUUGUAUUUUUUCAUAUAUAAAUAAAAUUAACAUUAAAAAAUAAAAAAUAAAUACAUAUAUGUUACAGUUCUACAUGGACUGAGGUUUUCAAUGCAACGCUUCACAUUCCAGGUGUUUUGUUUCACAUUGCGAGAUGGAUAAUUUUGUAUGUGGUGCUUGUGUGUGUGUUUUGUCAUAAUGUAUCAAACGUAGGAAGAGAAUGUCCAAAAGACAUGUGCUUCAACACAACAGAAAACUUAGCUCCAAAACCAUUGUCUGUGAUCUCAAUUGAUCUGGAUCAUGAAUACAUAUAGGUUGAGGUGCUGGAGGGGGAGGGAUAAUUUAACUUUUAAUGACCGAAGGGAAAACAAACAACAACAAAAAACCUGCAGUUGAACACAAUCUUGAUGACUUUUACAAUUGUUGUUACAAUAUGAUUAACACCCCCCACCAACACAAACCUAUAUAAAGACAAACCGAACACUUUAAAAUGCAACUUUUUUUCACCUCGACCUAUAACCUUACUCACCUUGUCUUCACUGAUGCAAAAGCAUCUAUUGCACUUUCAUAUGACAGUUGUUUUGGAAGGGCACUUCUUUCCUGGACUUGGUGGGCUUGGACUUGGUGCUGAUGUGGAUAAGUUCGCUGUAAAAUGACACAUUUCAAAGACAACCCUAUGCUGAGAGCUACAAACUCUUUUGUGAACAAGUGAUCCGUCAAAGGAUUAUCGUUGACAAAGAAGUGCUCAGAAUGGACAAGCCAAGAAGGUUGUUCGUGAACAUCGUGAAGAACCAUGAGGAUCUUGAUGCUUCAGACUACAGGCGGGAUAUGCUGAAAAGAAGAUUGAAGUGUGAUUUCCCCCAAUUAGUUUUUUAUGGGGAGAGAUUUGUCUCAAAAAUAUUCUCACAAAUGCUUUCGCGAUUCACACAUAUCUUUUGUAGAUGCACAAAUAUAUCAGAGAUUUUCACAUGUAUUUUCGAGAUCCACAAAUAUAUCCAUGAGUUUCACAUGUGUUUUUGUAAUUCACAAGUAUAUCCUCGAAAUUCACAUGUGUUUUUUUUAUGUAGUGCGUGCACUCAUCAUGAAUUAUUGUUUGUAAGCAUUCGAAUUGUAUAUGGGAAUCAGCGGCCGAGUGCAUUUAUUUUUGAGACAAACAUAACAAGAAACGGUCAAAUUUUCUCACACAAGCGCAUUCGCGAUUCACACUUGUGUUUUUCGAAUUCACAAAUACAUCCGCGAUUCUCACAAAUACAUUAGUGAUUUUCACACGUGUUUUUCAGAUCCACAAAUACGUCCGCGUUUUCCUCGUGUGUUUUUUAAAUCCACAAAUACUUCCGCAAAUGUCGCAUGUUUUUUUUAAUGAUGUGCGCGCAAUUAUCAUGACUUGACAUUUUUUAAGCAUUCAGUUUUGCUUGUGAAUUGCUGGAGCUGUGUUUUUUUUGUUUUUUUGUUUUUUUUUAAACAGCGAACACGCGCAUUUCUUUUUGAGACAAACGUCACUCGAUGUUUCACCAAGAUUUUCUCACACACAGUAAACCAAGAAUUUUCACGUGUCUCAAAUAACCUCCGCCUCAGUCCGAUAGGCGGCAGUAUUGAGCGCAUAGAAAGGUCAAAAGUGCCCAUCAACACAGAUGGCAAAUGGUGUUCUACUUAUGUAGCGCUUUUCCACCUUUCAAGGCGCUCAAAGCGCUUUACACUACAUCGCCAUCUACAUACAGGUGACGCAGCACCAGGAGCAAUGUGGGGUUCAGUAUCUUGCUCAAGGAUACUUAGGCGAGUUCAUCAGGGCAGAGAAUUGCACAACCUCUGGGUUGGGGGACAACUACUCUACCGCAGAGCCACGCCAUCCCCAUCCCCAGAUCACAUACGGACACCUAGCGGGUGACAUUACACCGGGCAACAGAUAAACAGGUGUCUUGGGUCCGUUGGAAAACCUACCCUAUUCCAUUUUUUGUUUUUAUGUGUGUUAAUAAAAAAAAAAAAAAAAAAAAAAGAGAAAUGAAUCAUCUCCCGUUUCCCAAUUAAAAACUGCUAAUUCAAUAACGGAAACGAGACUUAAUCCAUUUUACCAAUUAAUGGUUUUGAGCUGAAGUCGAAAAACAAAAUAUGUCCAAUAUUUGUUUUUAUUAACAAAAAAAAAAAAAAAACAGCACAAAUAUGCCAGGGGGUUAUAAACAUUUCAAACAUUGCACAUCAGGAAAAUAACAAAACAAAACAAAAACAAAAAAACAAUGAAUAAUGCUGUGAGCAAUUAUUCACAAAGAGAUUCAAGUUUUUCCACAAAUAUUGUUAUUUUCCGCUUUUAGAUUAUUUGAUUUUUUAAACAGAUUUAUGUAGCACACAGUCUCGUUAUGAAAGUGAGAAAAAGAAGGUAACAGCUUGCUAAAUUUACAUUUGUGUAGGUAGAAUUUCGACAAAAUGACAAGAUUAAUAAUAGAAACAAUCUCUUUCUUGAGAUUCUUAUAGAAACAAAAACAAAAAAGACAUUUUCCCAUUUGAGUUUGAAGUCCACAUGUGUAGGCUCCUGAUUCUGAACUUGCAAAGUUCUUUCCAAAAUUUAUUGGAAAAAGAGCAGGUCCAAAAAAGGUGCUGAACUGUCUCUGUAUCAAUGUCCCACUUUAAUUUUUUUCAUGUAGUGGUUUGCAGGAUAGUACUUAUCUAUAGAUAAUUUUGAAAGCGACUUCUUUGACCUUACUUGUCAACCGAAACAUAUUGGGGAUAGUCCAUACUUAGGCGUGGACCAAAUGAUAUCUCCAAAAAGACUUAACAUAUGCUUUGGAUCUAAUCUCGUUCUGAAAUAGAGAUCGAGUAUAUCUAUUCAAAUUUUUGUUAUGUAGUAAACAUAAUUUCCCCACACUUGAAUUUAGUAUAUUUGGAGGAGAUAAAGUUUGAAAUGGCAUGUUUACAUUUCUGCACAGCAUAAUGAAUCCUGAAGGAAUCGCAUCAUCAACACUAGCAUAUUGCUUAGGUCUAACUGGUAACUGAAAAUAAUCCCAAAACUCCGCGUAAAACAUAGGUGCCAUUAAAAAGUUGUGACACAAAAAGUGUCUUCUGCCUCUAAUUGUCCAAAAAUAAAGAUUUGUUUUUGCAAAGAAUUCAAUGAGCCAUGACCCGGAAGACGAGGCCUUAUUGAAGAAAAACAUCGUUUUCCGGUUCAAGGCUCAUUGUAAAAGCGAACUCGGAGGAAAACAAAUAUUGGUCGUAUUUUGUUUUUCGACUUCAGUUCAAUAAAUUGACAUUGUAAAAACGGAUUAAGGUUCGUUUUUCGUUUUUUAUUUUCCAAAAUUAGAAGGAAAAACAAACGGCCUCAAGGUACACGGACAGUCUUGAUAGUUCUUGAAGUUUGGGAAUCAUACUUUUAUAGUCUAUGCGCUCAAAACUGCCACCUAUCAGAUGAAGGCGGAGGUUAUUUGAGACACGUGAAAAUUCUCGGCUUACUGUGUGUGAGAAAAUCUUGGUGAAACAUCGAGUGACGUUUGUCUCAAAAAGAAAUGCGCGUGUUUGCUGUUAAAGAACACAGCUCCAGCAAUUCACAAGCAAAAUUGAAUACUUAAAAAAUGUCAAGUCAUGAUAAUUGCACGCACAUCAUUAAAAAACAUGCGAAACUUGCGGAAGUAUUUGUGGAUUUGAAAAACACUUGUGGAAAACGCGGACGUAUUUGUGGAUCUGAAAAACGCGUGUGAAAAUCACUCAUGUAUUUGUGAGAAUCGCGGAUGUAUUUGUGAAUUUGAAAAACACGUGUGAAUCGCCAAUGCACUUGUUCUUGUUAUGUUUGUCUCAAAAAUAAAUGCACGCGGCCGCUGAUUCACAAAUACAAUUCGAAUGUUUGCAAACAAUAAUUCAUGAUGAGUGCACGCACAACAUUAAAAAACACAUGUGAAUUUCGAGGAUAUAUUAGUGGAUUACAAAAACACAUGUGAAACUCAUGGAUAUAUUUGUGGAUCUCGAAAAUACAUGUGAAAAUCUUGGAUAUAUUUGUGCAUCGACAAAAGAUAUGUGUAAAUCGCGAAAGUAUUUGUGAGAAUAUUUUUGAGACAAAUCUCUCCCCAUAGUUUUUCACACCCCUUUCCAGCGCAACAUGUCUGAAAUGUUUUUUUUGUUUUUUUUGUUGGAGACUUUAUCAUCAACAGACAAACUUUUAGACAGGAUACCUCAGUCAUCAGGUACAUCAGCUACCGACUCUACUGAGGUAAGACAAGAAAGUGACACUGAACAAAUGGCUAGCACACCAUCUGGUUGGAAAUCCACAGAACAAAGAAGGACACUUUACAGUGCAGGGCUGCUAUUGAGGACCAUUCUAAGCGAAUCACCCUCACUGAAAUGCCCAUGGCCUCCCACAGCAGAAGAUUUAAAUGUAUGUGAAGCGAAAGCUGUUGUGCCUGUUGAACAGUACAAUCGAUUGGUGCAACAGAAGAACCAACACUAGCCGGCAAAAGGGCAAACUACGAGGCAGCAGUAAUGCGACAUUGUCUGACUGGUAUGAUGUGUGCCCCUUCACCAAUUGGCAAUGGAUGGGACAUUGAGGAUGGUGAAUUAACAGUAAAAUGGAUGACUAGAAAUCCUGCCCCAGAUAGUGUGCUACAGGUAAUCCACUGUGGUUGCAAGAUAAGCAAGUGUGAGACUGAAAGAUGUUCAUGCUUGUCUGCAAAAAUGUCCUGUACAGAUUUAUGCCACUGCCAGGACUGUGAAAAUAUUUCAAAGGAAAUGGGAUGAUGACACUGAUGAUACUGAUAUUGAUGAGUAAUCACCCACCAUCUCUCCUAUGUUUAGUUUCAUUAUCAAAAUGUUACUCUCCAUUUUAACACCUUUAAAACAACAACAAAAAAAGGCUCUUUUCCCUUUUCCAAAAAAAUAGACCUUUGUUCAAUUUGACUGCCAAAAAAGAUGGAUGUUCCAAUGAA